GAGUAUCUGCCCACCGGAGAACGCCUUCUAUCAAGCUUCUCUCUCAAGUCAUGACCGCGAAAAUCCCGCCUCUCUGAAAUGAGAACACUGACUUUUUACACUAAACUGGAGACAGCUGUUGAUUCAAAACAUUGAUGAAAUCCGCACCAACUAAAUCGCCAAUAAUCAAUAAUAAAGCUAAUCUUACCAUUACAUCGAACUACAAGAGAAACAUAACAGUGAAUAUUUAUAAGGCCUUCCUGCGAGUUCCAAAAGGAGCCAUAGAAACUACUGCUCUCAUAUAAUGCACAUAUGUAGAAUACCAGUUUUUGAGCUUU
rnacentral:lncRNA from 1 species